rnacentral:lncRNA from 10 species
AGCAUUUGGUAUUCAUUGUUCUAUCGCAGUUUUUAUUUAAAUCAAUAUUUAGUAAUUAUAUCAUCUUAACUAUGUAUAUAUGAUUCAUAGCCACAUCAUGUGAAACAUUCUGAUUAUAUUUCAUUUCUUAUACAAUGUCUUGUUUUCCCUGGAGUUAAUAUUGACCGUCCUUUUUGUUUGUUUACUGAGUAUUUAUCUAUACAUCUUUGCAACAGAGACUGAUAAAUGUCACCUGUUAUCACCCGUCUCUCCUUCCAAAGAAAGAGAACUCCCAACUUUUAACCUGGCACAUGAUUACCCAAAAUGAAGACUCCAUAUAUCAGCCAUGGCCAAGUUUCUGACCAAUGAGAUAAAUAAAACAGACACGACUGGAUGUGAAACAGUCAUUUGGACCAUGAAGUGACCUUGGAAAAGGAAGCCAGGACUGGUGUCCAUAUAAGAAGAUAGCCCUGUGAAGACACAGACUCAGAGAGAAUUCUAAUAUGGAGAUGGAAACAAAAUCUGUAGUCAUGCUGCUCCAAGCUAAGGAAUACCUGGGGCUACCAGAAGCUCGAAGAAGCAGGAGAAGUUCCUCCCUAGAGGCUUCAGAGAACAUGACAUCUGACACAUUGAUUUCAGUUGGCUGACCUUCAAAGCGAUGAGGUGAAUUUCUGUUGUUUUAAGCCACCCAGAGACAGCCCUAAGAAAUUAAUGCACAUGCUAAUACUAGUUUUCUCUAAGUUUCAUUGAGAAUAUUGAAAAAUAUAUAUUUAAAUAUCUGGAUCUUAUUGAGAAUACAAAGAAGACUUUCAUACGUUGGUAUUUCUGAAUCUUCAUUUAUAAAGUGUUAAAUAACUUAUGCCCAAAAGAAAAAAUCGGUCAGAAAUUACCUCAUAUCAGUAAGUUCUAUAGUAAAGGAAUAAAUGCAUCUAAGAAUGACACAUGAAAUAUUUCUCCUCAAUGCUCCUGUAACACCCUAUGAAUCCCUCUGUCUACUUAUCUUUUUCCCCAAAGGACUGGGAAGAACUUGAGGAUAGAUACCUUGUUUUCUUUUUUUUUGGGAAUUUUGCACCUACCAGAGUGCCUGGGGAUCUGGUCAAGACUCAAUAACUAUAUGUCCCAAGUGAAUAAAUGAAGGAAUAAUAAAAUAGCAUAGAUGUUAACCCUUAAAAAAUCUAGAAAUAAGAGGUAUUUAAAAUAAGAGGUAUUUUUGUUUUCUAAAAGUAUGAUAAAUUCCCUUUAUUUACAGGUUAUAUUAAUAUGACUUUAAAGAGACAUUUUAUCAUCUUCAACUCUUAUCAUAGUUCUUAUCUCUAUUGUUACAUUUAGAAAUAUAAUCAAUCUCCUCUUUUAAAAUGCAUUCCAUAACAGUAAUAGUUUUGCCUAUGAUACCACUUGGAUUCUACUUACAUAUCUGAGUAGGUUGGAAAAUGUGUAGAUGUUUUUAAAGGAAAAGAACAGAAGUUUUCAUUUUUCAUUCAAGCAAGCAUUAAUAAUAAAAA